GGAAUGAGUAGCGAGAAUUAUGUGGGAAUCAUAAUGGCCGAAAAUCUAAGGUUUCUUGGGGAAGGUUCGUCCGCCCAAGGUAAGCCGGGAGCUAAGGCGAGGCCGCAAGGCGUAGUCGAUGCACAUACGGUAGAAAUUCCGUAGCCGGUACAAUUGUUAAUCACGGUGACACAUGAGUGUAGCUCUACCGGGCGUUGGUAGCCCCGGGCGUAAGCGAGCCGAAUGAGGCGAAGUGAGUAAAGCUUGUGGCGAGAAAAGCCGUGUGGAUUGGUUGUACUGCCCGUACCGCAAACCGACACAGGUAGAUGAGGAGAAGAUCCUAAGGCCAACGGGAGAAGGGUUGUUAAGGAACUAGGCAAAUUGACCCCGUAACUUCGGAAUAAGGGGUGCCUACGAAAGUAGGUCGCAGAGAAUAGGCCCAAGCAACUGUUUACCAAAAACACAGGUCUCUGCUAAAUCGAAAGAUGACGUAUAGGGGCUGACGCCUGCCCGGUGCUGGAAGGUUAAGAGGAGAGCUUAGGGAAACCGAAGGUUCGAAUUGAAGCCCCAGUAAACGGCGGCCGUAACUAUAACGGUCCUAAGGUAGCGAAAUUCCUUGUCAGGUAAGUUCUGACCCGCACGAAAGGCGUAAUGAUUUGGGCACUGUCUCAACAGCCCGCCCGGCGAAAUUGUAGUACCGGUGAAGAUGCCGGUUACCCGCAACUAGACGGAAAGACCCCAUGGAGCUUUACUGCAGCUUAAUACUGAAAUUCGGUAGUACAUGUACAGGAUAGGUGGGAGACUGAGAAAUACAGGCGUCAGCUUGUAUGGAGUCGCUGUUGGGAUACCACUCUUGUACUGCUGGGUUUCUAACCUGCGGCCGUGAAUCCGGUCGGGGGACACUGUUAGGCGGGCAGUUUGACUGGGGCGGUCGCCUCCAAAAGAGUAACGGAGGCGCUCAAAGGUUCGCUCAGCAUGGACGGAAACCAUGCCAAAGAGUGCAAACGCAAAAGCGAGCCUAACUGCGAGACUGACGGGUCGAGCAGUAACGAAAGUUGGAGUUAG
rnacentral:rRNA from 1 species